rnacentral:rRNA from 1 species
UACGGAGGGUGCAAGCGUUAUCCGGAUUCACUGGGUUUAAAGGGUGCGUAGGAGGGCAGGUAAGUCAGUGGUGAAAUCUUCGAGCUUAACUCGGAAACUGCCGUUGAUACUAUCUGUCUUGAAUCCCGUGGAGAUGAGCGGAAUAUGUCAUGUAGCGGUGAAAUGCUUAGAUAUGACAUAGAACACCCAUUGCGAAGGCAGCUCGCUACACUAUCAUUGACACUGAGGCACGAAAGCGUGGGGAUCAAACAGG